rnacentral:misc_RNA from 1 species
GAUGAAGAACGUAGCGAAAUGCGAUACGUAAUGUGAAUUGCAGAAUUCAGUGAAUCAUCGAGUCUUUGAACGCACAUUGCGCCCCCUGGCAUUCCGGGGGGCAUGUCCGACCGAGCGCCGCCGCGCAGCUCAGGCAGGCCUUUUGCAGAGGCCACGCCUGGUGUUGGGGCCUGCGAUGGACGGGAAAGGAGGGCUGUCUGGCACUCCUCCCCGCGCAGCCCUGAAAUUUAGCGGCGGCCGCCGUAGGCCUCUCCCACGCGCAGUAGCAAAAGGGCCCUCACGCCCCUGCCUGGAACGAGCCUGCCAUCGGCCCGCCCAUCCCGAGCGGUCGCGUCGCAGCGCCUGGCCCGCGCCGGCGAUGCACCCCGAACCCCCAACUCGCCGUUGGCCUCGGGUCGGACAAGGCUACCCGCUGAACUUAAGCAUAUCAAUAAGCGGAGGA